UACAGAGGUCUCAAGCGUUGUUCGGAUUCAUUGGGCGUAAAGGGUGUGUAGGUGGCGCGCUAAGUCGGGUGUGAAAUUUCGGAGCUUAACUCCGAAACUGCAUUCGAUACUGUCGUGCUUGAGGACUGGAGAGGAGACUGGAAUUUACGGUGUAGCAGUGAAAUGCGUAGAUAUCGUAAGGAAGACCAGUGGCGAAGGCGGGUCUCUGGACAGCUCCUGACACUGAGACACGAAGGCCAGGGGAGCAAACGGG
rnacentral:rRNA from 1 species